CACGUAGGGGCGAGCGUUGUCCGGAAUUACUGGGCGUAAAGGGCGCGCAGGCUGUUACGCGAGUCUGCUGUGAAAUGUACCGGCUCAACCGGUGCCUUGCGGCGGAUACUGCAUAGCUGGAGUACUGGAGAGGGAAGUGGAAUUCCCAGUGUAGCGGUGAAAUGCGUAGAUAUCGGGAGGAACACCGGUGGCGAAGGCGGCUUUCUGGCCAGUUACUGACGCUCAUGCGCGAAAGCUGGGGUAGCGAACCGGAUUAGAUACCCGGGUA
rnacentral:rRNA from 1 species